CCUACGGGAGGCAGCAGUGAGGAAUAUUGGUCAAUGGACGCAAGUCUGAACCAGCCAUGCCGCGUGCAGGAAGACGGCUCUAUGAGUUGUAAACUGCUUUUGUACGAGGGUAAACGCAGAUACGCGUAUCUGUUUGAAAGUAUCGUAUGAAUAAGGAUCGGCUAACUCCGUGCCAGCAGCCGCGGUAAUACGGAGGAUUCAAGCGUUAUCCGGAUUUAUUGGGUUUAAAGGGUGCGUAGGCGGUCGGAUAAGUUAGAGGUGAAAGCCCGAGGAUCAACUUCGGAAUUGUCUUUGAUACUGUUCGGCUAGAGAGUAGUUGCGGUAGGCGGAAUGUAUGGUGGAGCGGUGAAAUGCUUAGAGAUCAUACAGAACACCGAUUGCGAAGGCAGCUUACCAAGCUACUUCUGACGUGGAGGCACGAAAGUGUGGGGAGCAAACAGGAUUAGAUACCCGAGUAGUC
rnacentral:rRNA from 1 species